GACAACGGCUAAUACACUGAUGCCGGGAGUUGUGGAUCUCGGCGGGGCGGAGAUUCAUCUUGAUGGUGGAGUUUACUUGAUCGGGAGACCGCUGGCGCUGCCGGCCACUGGCGGCGGAAAUUUGAAGAUACACGGCGGCUCCCUCCGCGCCUCCGAUGACUUCCCCUCCGACCGCUACCUCAUCGAACUCUGGACUGACCCGCAACCUUCUGAUGCCUCCCUCAGUGCUGC
rnacentral:misc_RNA from 1 species